rnacentral:rRNA from 1 species
UACGUAGGGGGCAAGCGUUGUCCGGAUUUAUUGGGCGUAAAGAGCGUGUAGGCGGCCUGACAGGUCUGCUGUGAAAACUCGAGGCUCAACCUCGAGAUGUCGGCGGAAACCGUCUGGCUAGAGUCCGGAAGAGGAGAGUGGAAUUCCUGGUGUAGCGGUGAAGUGCGCAGAUAUCAGGAGGAACACCGAUGGCGAAGGCAGCUCGCUGGGACGGUACUGACGCUGAGGAGCGAAAGCGUGGGGAGCGAACAGG